CAAAAUUAUUUCGUUAAGAUUGAAACAUGGAUUUCGAAGGGUAAAUUUCAAACUGUUACUAUUUCAAAUUUCAGGAAAAACGCGUAAGAAAUGCUGUUUUUGUGCGUUAAGUGCCUUCAAUCCGAAAAAGGGGCUAUAUGACAGCUGCAUACAAAUAUGGUCAGAUCUGGACCAGAUAUUGAGGAGUCCAUGCAAAUCACUGUAAAGGGAAAAAUGGGUAGUAAAGCGCACUUUGCUUUAUCCAAAUUCGCCACAGUUGUUCACAAGGCGGAUUCUAAAAAGGUGGUCUCACGUGAACAGCUGAAAACAGCCAGCCAGUUCAACGUUUUUAAGAUGAUAGUUCUUUGUUAACAUUCACAGCAAACCUCUCCAUAUUUUUGCACGUUCUCUUUCUCUUAUAGUACGGGCACACGUACACAUUUCUUUGGUUGUGUUGAGGACAAUGUCGGUUCAGUAAAUCAGCUUGAUGGAAAAUCUCGGAUUAGACGAUAUGAUUUGUGAUUGUUAUACAAAUGAGACCAAAUUUUAGAUCCGCCUUGAGUUGUUCAUUAAAAUCGGGGAAAAAAACACCUUAGACUUUUAUGACCUCAAGAUUUCUUAUCGGGAGAUUGGUAUAAACAGAUCUUUAUCAAAAUAAAAGCCAUUUUUGAGCUCUAGGCUGAUUUCAACAAACCGAUGGACGGACAUGUCGAGAUCGUCUACGAAUAUAACGACCAUCUAGUACCCAGCAAAAACUUGAACGCGUUAUAAACAGGAACACCUUCUGUGUUACCGGUAGUACAAAUGUCAUUACAUACAACAUUCGAUGAAGCUCAAAAAUAAGCACUUAUUUGUAAUAAUAGAAAAAAUCAUUAUUAUUAUAACGUUGGAAUUGAUAACAAUAUCUCUUUUUAGGCAAACAAAGAAUAAUGAAUAAGGACAGUAAUGCUAUUGGAGCUAUAUCAAGUUAUAGUCCGAUACGGACCAUAAAUGAAUUGUAUGCUGAACAUUGUAGAAGUCAUUGUGUAAUAUUUCAGUCCAUUCGGAUAAGAAAUACGAAUUUUAGGGGCUCAAGAAGCAAAAUCUGGAGAUCGGUUUAUUUGGAAGCUGUAUCAAGCUAUAGAUCGAUACAGACCAUAUGCUCACGUAUGUUGAAGGCCUUGGGAGAAGCCGUUGUACAAAAUUUUUUCUGCAAUUACAGA